rnacentral:misc_RNA from 1 species
CUAAACGAUGUCAACUGGUUGUCGGGGAAGUAAUUCCUUGGUAACGAAGCUAACGCGUGAAGUUGACCGCCUGGGGAGUACGGCCGCAAGGUUAAAACUCAAAGGAAUUGACGGGGACCCGCACAAGCGGUGGAUUAUGUGGAUUAAUUCGAUGCAACGCGAAAAACCUUACCUACCCUUGACAUGCCCGGAACUUGGCAGAGAUGCCUUGGUGCCCGAAAGGGAACCGGGACACAGGUGCUGCAUGGCUGUCGUCAGCUCGUGUCGUGAGAUGUUGGGUUAAGUCCCGCAACGAGCGCAACCCUUAUCGCUAAUUGCCAUCAUUUAGUUGGGCACUUUAACGAGACUGCCGGUGACAAACCGGAGGAAGGUGGGGAUGACGUUCGGAAUGUCGAUA